rnacentral:rRNA from 1 species
UACGAAGGGAGCUAGCGUUGUUCGGAAUCACUGGGCGUAAAGCGCACGUAGGCGGAUGUGUCAGUCAGGGGUGAAAUCCCGGAGCUCAACUUCGGAACUGCCUUUGAUACAGCACGUCUUGAGUCCGAUAGAGGUGGGUGGAAUUCCUAGUGUAGAGGUGAAAUUCGUAGAUAUUAGGAAGAACACCGGUGGCGAAGGCGGCCCACUGGAUCGGUACUGACGCUCAUGCACGAAAGCGUGGGGAGCGAACAGG